rnacentral:rRNA from 1 species
UACGUAGGGUGCAAGCGUUAAUCGGAAUUACUGGGCGUAAAGCGUGCGCAGGCGGUUUUGUAAGUCUGUCGUGAAAUCCCCGGGCUCAACCUGGGAAUUGCGAUGGAGACUGCAAGGCUAGAAUCUGGCAGAGGGGGGUAGAAUUCCACGUGUAGCAGUGAAAUGCGUAGAGAUGUGGAGGAACACCGAUGGCGAAGGCAGCCCCCUGGGUCAAGAUUGACGCUACAUGCACGAAAGGCGUGGGAGCAAACAGG